UGCCAGCAGCCGCGGUAAUACGGAGGGUGCAAGCGUUAUCCGGAUUUAUUAGGUUUAAAGGGUGUGUAGGCGGACUUUUAAGUCAGUGGUGAAAUCCCGGGGCUCAACUCCGGAACUGCCAUUGAUACUGAAAGUCUUGAGUACAGUUGAAGUAGGCGGAAUGUGUAAUGUAGCGGUGAAAUGCUUAGAUAUUACACAGAACACCGAUUGCGAAGGCAGCUUACUAAGCUGUUACUGACGCUGAUGCACGAAAGCGUGGGGAGCAAACAGGAUUAGAUA
rnacentral:rRNA from 1 species